CAGGUCAGGUCAGGUCAGAAGCAGCAUGAAGUGGACAUUGACGUUGAUCGCGGCCGCCGCGGCG
rnacentral:SRP_RNA from 1 species